CAAUCUCAUCCACCUCCAGCGCCGCCACGCCUUGCAACGCCGCCGCGCGCCGCCGAACUCCGCCCCGUCGUCGCUCCGCCGGAAUCCGCCGGAACUCGACCCGCCGUCGCGCCGCCGCUCAAGCCCAGCUUUUGGAUCGGGUCAACGCGGUGGCUCGAGCGGCUGGGGGCGGAUCCGGCGAGGAGGAGGCCGGAGUCGAGGCGGGCCACGCCAUGGGAGGAGGCCGGAGCUCGAGGGGCACGGUAAUGGGUGCGGCGGGGCGGAUCUGGCGAGGAGAGUCCGGAGUGGAGGUGGGGGCACGCCAUGGGAGGCUAGCAAAGCUUCGGGCAGCACCAUCCAUAGUGGUUGCUACCUGUGGGAGAAGAGGAGGGAGAUUUUGAGAAAGAGAGAGAGACAGGAGUAAAGAGAGAGUGAAGGGAGAGGAAGGAGAGAUGGCCGGAGGCGUGGUCAAUGGUGAAGGUCCGGCGGCGCGCGGAGCGCGCUGCCCGCCGGUGGACACCCAAUUGUGCGUGAACCCGCCGAGGACUGACCUCGCCACCUCCGUGCCUCCCCCAGGAUCUCCGUCACUGCCUCAUGCUGCUGUGCGCAAAGAUACUGCUGCCUCUCCCUGGUACAUCCAUCUCCACUUCCUCGGGGCGCUGCUCGCCGGCUCAUGACCUGCUAUGGAAUUGACGUUUGCGCACACAAGUUCCCCUGUCUGGCUCUGCCGGCUCCCGUAGUUGAGCAGAGCCAGGAGAUCGAGAGAGGAAAUACUCACUUGAUUUUGCAAAUUAUGUUGGGCAUGGAGAUUGAUCUGUUAUUUUUGGUUGUCCCUAGAUUCAAGGAUGACAACGCCCAAACCUUUCCCUGAUGUUUGGGCAAAGGCGUGUAUGUCUGAUGUGCAGCAAAGCGACGAAACAAUGGUCGAUGGUUAUGUAUCUCGCGGGACUCGACGGUUACAGUUUCGGGAGCAGCAUUGUUGCUUGCUAGCAUAUUUUUUUUCUUACAUAUAUGAACUGAUGAUGCUUUAUUUGGUGUUGUUUCCCAUGGCAGUACAUUAUGGCUUUGUUGACGAUGAUUUCUGCUAAUGUGCACACAGCUGAGGAAUAGACCCGGCAAGGAAGAGAGCUACACCAAUGUAGUCGGUGGAAUUAACAAGCAAAGUAAAUCCUGAAGCUCCUGGUUGUAACAAGAGGAAGUCGAUUUGUCAGUGGAAACAUAGCUGCAAGGAAGCGAUAUCUCAACUUUGACGUUACUUAAGCUUUUGGAUUUCAGAUUUAGUUGCCAUCACCAAACUGGUAUGCAAUUGAGUUGCACUUGAGCGCACAAGCUGAUUUCUAAAUAUCGCACAGUACUAUAGUUGUGCUCCACUAAAUAGCUUAUAUUUGAGCAGUCUUGCGGAAUAGUUACAGUGAAGAAAAAGCUUGCAAGAUUGAUUUGAUUUGCUGGUUUUUUGAGUGGCGCUACCCCUAUUAGGCUAAGUAGAAGCACUAUACGACGACUAAAGUACACCAGAUUACCUUCUCUGGUUUUGUAAUUUGUUGUUUGUUAUUUUUGGAAUUAUUUUGGGUACAAGGAAAGAAGUGCCAGAGAACUGCCAUUGUUUCGUGGUAAAAUUUACUAAUGUUGGUAUUUCUUUUCAAGAUUAUAUUAUUGUUUGCCCAUUUGGUCCUUGGAUGUUCUACUGAUUUUUUUUUUCUAUUCCUUGUGGAUAAUUUGCUUCGGAUCAUCAGACUACCUAGGGAAACAUGCACAUUCUUUAUCUCACCCCCCCUCUUUAUCUAAAGAUAUAUUGGGCAUCAGUCCACCUGUCAUGAGAUCUCUGAAUUUUGGAGGCAUGUUGUAUUUUCUGAAUUUCUUGCAGAUAUUAUGCUUGGACUCACAAAUGCAUGUAAUGCUUCCACUAGAGGUUUGUUCUUCGUUUCUUCUAUGUUAUUCCUCUUUCAAGUUUUUGGUCCUUGAAAAGUAAUAGUACUUGCUAGGUUUUCUAGGUUCAUUUUUUGUGUGGUAGAAGCUGAAUGUAUAUGGCCUGAAUUUACAUAUCAGAGUGUAUGAGUUGAUUAAGGGUAUGGGAGAGAACAAUUGUCAUCCUCAAAUAACACGCGUCGUCACUAAGUUUCUUAUAUUUACCAAUUGAAACAUGUCACUAAGUUGCUACUGAUGUCACGGUGUCCAUAACGCAGAACACAUAAUAAGUUAAAUCAAGCCAAUGAUUUUGUUCUUUUAGCCAGAGUCAGGUUCAGAGUUGUUCACACUGAAUUUUCUGGGCACAUCCAUAAGCAAGCUAGCACGUAUUAUUUAACUGAAGCAGAGGGCGGCUAAGCUAUGAAUGCUUCAUUCUUUGUUCUGAACAAAUGCAGCUACGAAUUUAUAUUUUGAAGAACCGGCACCUGAGUGUGUUCUGUUUUUAUAGCCUGCAGAGUCUGGAGAGUAAAGCUUGUACAUUUUGUAAACCAUUUUGUUCCAGUUUCCCUUGGUAUACAAGUCUAUACUGUAUCGGGUUUUGCCAUUGCCGAUCAUGUACUUCUUUCUGUGCUAGACCGGUAUAAGUAUAUUUAGCUCAUGUACACAUGGCAUUUGGAUUGAACCAAAGAAUUUCAUGUUGAUGACUACAUAUAUACCUGAACAUGGUGGCUUGAACUUGGUUAUUAUUCUUGGACAUGAUGCUGGAAUAAUUCUUGAAGUUUCAUAUAUUCUGCUCUUUCUUCAAUUAUUAAUUAGUUUAAUUGCAUCCCUGAUGGUAGUUUUAGAUAUGUAGCAAAAGAAAGGGUCAAUUACACAUUGUUGGGCCCUCACGGCCCAAUAGUAAGAAGAUCUUCUUUUAGGGGUCGCAGCGGUACGAAGAUAAGUUCGUGGGUCCUUCCAUGCACCUUAACUAUUUUGUUUGGGCCAAGCCUAGAUAGUAAAAAAAAAUAAAUUUCCCAACCAAGCUACCAACUAUCUGUAAAGAUUACCAAACAAAAAUACCCAAAAAGUUAACACAAAAAACAGUUUAAAAAUAUUUCAAAAAAAUAUGUUCGUAAUUUUUAAAAACACUUAAAAAUUCGCCCAAAAAAUCACUUCUUUACUACAAAAAUACAUUCUUUUCAAAAAAAAUUAUUUUAUAGAGUUUACAUUUUAAUGAAUUUAUUAAAAAAAGAAAUUUCCAUGUUCAACAUUUAUUAGAAUUAGAUAUUAAAAAUGGCGAAAAAUGACCCAUCAAGCAGGUUCUAUCAUUUUUAUCGCCCGGUGCAACGCACGGGCAUUUGUACUAGUCUUUACCUACUAAUAAAGCAGCUAAUGCUUCUGCCCGUACGUCGUCGGUGAUUUUGCAAAAAAGCCCCUCUACUUUUGAGAAUUCAACCCGCAGUCCCUGUUUAAGUGGACCUGGAAAAACGCUUCAUUUUUGCACAAAACACCAUAUUGUUUGGAUUAUUCAACCCGUGGUCCGAGCUGAUUUUGUAAAGAGAAAAAAAGACCAUAGGAGGAGCACGGGCUCGCCUCCUCUCCCUCUCGCCCAAGUCCUCGUCGCUGCCGCCGCCACCACCACCCACGCUGUGGCAAUCUCCGGCGAGCUCCGUCGCCGCACAACACACCCCAGAGCUCCCCACGGUCCGCGUCUCCCUCCCCUCCGGCCAGAUUCUGCGCUCCCGACCUCUACCGCCCGGUCGCAACGCCACCCUUGUGGCUGGGUUUGGGGCAGGGCUUCGCCGCCGCGUCUCUGGCGGCCCCGGGUUCGUCCCUCUUCCUACCUGGUCGGGAUCCACCACCCCUACACCUCACCUUCGACGCCAUGGGAGUUCCCCAUCCACCAUGGUUGUCGCCGUCAAGGGCUUCUUCACGAAGAUGUGAAGGACGCCAUGGAUCUGCAGCUCCUUUUCUCCUCCACCACGGACGCCGCCUCACCCUUCCAAGCCAACAGGCACCCUACAAACGGGUCGGCCCACAGCUCCUCCGCUCCUCUGCCAUCUUGAGAUGCACCUGGAUCUGGCGAUUUCAGGGCCUUCAUGGCUUUAGAAUCGGCCUCUCGUUCGGGAUCAGUUUGGAUCUAGGACAAGCCAACCAUGCUGCUGCGCCAAGCUCCUCUUGAUAUAGUUUACAUGAAUGCUAUCCGGGAGAAGGCAAAUAUCAGGAGCAAAUAAAAUCAAUCCCUGUACAAAUAAAAACACUCCCUGCAAUCUAUCAUUUUUUUGAGGAAUUAGCCACAUUAGAGUAGUUGAUACAUUGGAUGAGUAUUCAGAAGGUGCAGUCAAUUUGUCCUUUGGCAUCUAGCCCUCCUGUUGGUAUAAUAAUGCAAAUUGCCUUUUUAAAAAAAAAUGGUCCUUCAUUUCUUUUCUUUGAGUUAUCUGUGUAUCUUUUAAGCUUUUGCUAGGCGAGGAAAGGUGGACCAAGUAGUCUAGCAGAACCAAUUGCAUUUUUGGGGUAUUGGCUUCAGAUUGGAGUGGGAAGGUAUAGAUAUGUGUUCUUUCCACAAGAAGAACAAUGAAUACUACUACAAUCUUUUCUAGCAUGGUUUGUUCUCAGCCACAUGAGUUUUAUAAUCCUUCUAAAACAGUCACUUCCUUUCAUAUGAAUGCACUUUUAGCAGAUGUUAUUCUGACUGGUCUGCUAUAUUUGUUCAUGAAGACAUUCAUGUUUACUCCAUGUUCAAUUCAAGUCUGAAAGAUUCAUAUUUGGGUAGACAGGUUUCACUGAUUGAAAAUAUUUGAGAUGCUCUUUUUGAUGUAUGGCAAUAUGCUAUCUCAAAUAUGGUAGACGAGGAAUACGAGCUCUUUUGAAGAUAAAUAAACUAGAUAAAAAAGAAUUGAAAUAGCCAAGCAAGUUUCAUUGCAUGUUAAUUAUAUGGUCUGCUGUACUGAACCUUUUUCUGCAAUUUUCUUAUUUGUUCUGCUUGAAAAAGCUAACACUGAUCUUUUGCUACGUUUUGUGUUAAUGAGUAAAUGUUUUGUACAGAAAAUCAGUGCUAGAGAUUAGAAUUGUCUCAUAUAUAAUACUCCAUCUGUCUCAUUAUAUAAGACAUUUUUUCACGAGGUAGUACCAAAUAUGCCUUUAUGUGCUUUCUUCAACAAGUCAUAUGUGUGACUGACCUCCACCCACCUCCCCAUUCUCAACAAGCACCAGGACGUGACUUCGGUUCUGCCAAGUAGGUUUUAAUAAACAAAUCCUUCCUAAAUUAUGAGCUGUUUUCUUACUGAGCAAACAGAAUGCCCAACAUUCCAAUUUGUGAUGUUAAGGCUAACAAGAGAUGCAUAUAUCAUAUUUAACAUACUAUCUGCACUCUUCCUAAU